rnacentral:lncRNA from 12 species
AUGAAUGGCGUGCUGGAAUUUCCUCUCAGGAAGGCUGGACUUUCAGAAAUUCUCCCCUGUGCCUGGGUAUCUGCCCCGGGCAGCUCUCUUCAGUGCUCCCCCACCCCUCUCACUUCCUUUCCCCAUGGCCAGAAGAAUCUGGGCAGGUUAACUGGCUCUCCUGGCUCCACAGCCCAUACCGAGGUCUGUCUGUCUCUUACUGGAUGCACAGGUAGGUGAGACUUCUUCUGGGUCCCUUGGUGUUUGUAUAGUAAAAAAUCCAACAACUCCCACAAAGGUGCUUUUGUUUAUGGAUGGAUGUCUUUUUCUUGUUUAAAAAAGGGGGAGGGGGUAAAAAGAAAGAAUACUUUACAUGCCACUAUGUGCUGACAUCACUUCCGCCAUAGUAAUUUUCAUUCUUUGUGCUAUAUUUCAUAACUACAAAAACUGUGUGUAAACAAAAUAGUAUGAUAAGGAGCGUGGUAGCUAUUAGAGCUUCUCACUUUGUGGGGAUGUAAUAGGAUUAUUCUUUCUGGGUCUUUGUGGUUGGGCAGGGGCCAGAGCAUGUACGAAUCAUAGACUGUGGUACAGAACUUGGAGCUGACUUUGAGGCAGUCCUUGGUGAGUUUAGGAGGAUGAUAUGGAUUGCAUUUUUAAGGGAUAAUUAUUGACGAGAGGUAUUGUUGAGGGCAAGCUCGGAAUCACAGUGCCCAUUUAGAGAGCUAGUAAUGGUGAGAAAUGGUGGUGAGUCGAAUAUCAGUGGGAGCACGCAAAACAAACAAAAGUGGGAUUUGGGGGAAUGUGUUUUGCAGGUGCAUCUGACAGGACAUGUGAAAGGCUGGAAAAUGGGGGUUGAUGGGAAGAGAGGGAUUGCAGAUGAUUCUUACACGUUUGAGCAACUGAAUAUACGAUGAAGCCAUUUACUGAAAUGGGGUCAAAUGGAGGAUGAACAGGCUUGAAGGAAGGAGAUGAAACUAAUUUCUUUCCUUAUUAGCUUUAGAUAUCUAUGGCACAUGUUAAAUAAACCAUGGGACAGACAUCGCCA